UACGGAGGGAGCAAGCGUUGUUCGGAUUUACUGGGCGUAAAGGGCGCGUAGGCGGCCAUCGCAAGUCAGUUGUGAAAUCUCCGAGCUUAACUCGGAAAGGUCAACUGAUACUGCGCGGCUAGAGUGCAGAAGGGGCAACUGGAAUUCUCGGUGUAGCGGUGAAAUGCGUAGAUAUCGAGAGGAACACCUGCGGCGAAGGCGGGUUGCUGGGCUGACACUGACGCUGAUGCGCGAAAGCCAGGGGAGCGAACGGG
rnacentral:rRNA from 1 species